rnacentral:rRNA from 1 species
AGCAGCCGCGGUAAUUCCAGCUCCAAUAGCGUAUAUUAAAGUUGCUGCAGUUAAAAAGCUCGUAGUUGAAUUUCGGGACCAAUAUGUCGGUCGUGCCUCGGUACGUACUGGCAUCAUUGGUUUCUCCUUUCUGAAGAACCAUGAUGUCAUUUAUUUGGUGUCGUGGGGAAUCAGGACUGUUACUUUGAAAAAAUUAGAGUGUUUAAAGCAGGCUCACGCUUGAAUACAUUAGCAUGGAAUAAUGAAAUAGGACGUUUGAUUCUAUUUUGUUGGUUUCUAGGAUCGACGUAAUGAUUAAUAGGGAUAGUUGGGGGCAUUAGUAUUCAAUUGUCAGAGGUGAAAUUCUUGGAUUUAUUGAAGACUAACUACUGCGAAAGCAUUUGCCAAGGAUGUUUUCAUUAAUCAAGAACGAAAGUUAGGGGAUCGAAGACGAUCAGAUACCGUCGUAGU